rnacentral:ncRNA from 16 species
GGCAGGUGAGGGCACCAUUAGUCUUGCGAAGCUUCGAGACAACGGUCGGAAGCCGGUGAGAAUCCGGCACGGUCGCGCCACUGUGAACGGCCAGCCAGCCCGCUGGUAGCCGUGAGUCAGACCCACGUUGUCCUGUUCACCGGUU